AUCGCUUCUCGGCCUUUUGGCUAAGAUCAAGUGUAGCAUAUAUACAGGAAUAAUAUUUAAAAUAUUUAACAAGUGGCACAGGAAAGGCACUGACCAAUCAGAACAGACAGUGACCGUAAACAGCAAGCAUGUCGAUCACGGCCUUCUCGGUAUGUACUGGCUGAACUGCAUUCCUGUAGGCGUGCACAUGCACGUG